AUGAACGCUAGCGGCAGGCUUAAUACAUGCAAGUCGUGGGGGCAACAGGUCCAUAGCAAUAUGGAUGCUGGCGACCGGCAAACGGGUGCGGAACACGUACACAACCGUUCCUUUAAGUGGGGAAUAGCCCGGGGAAACCCGGAUUAAUACCCCGUAACAUAAUGAAGUGGCAUCGCUUUAUUAUUAUAGCUCCGGCGCUUAAUGAUGGGUGUGCGGCUGAUUAGGCAGUUGGCGGGGUAACGGCCCACCAAACCUACGAUCAGUAACUGGUGUGAGAGCACGACCAGUCACACGGGCACUGAGACACGGGCCCGACUCCUACGGGAGGCAGCAGUAAGGAAUAUUGGUCAAUGGACGCAAGUCUGAACCAGCCAUGCCCGCGUGAAGGACGAAGGUCCUCUGGAUUGUAAACUUCUUUUAUUUGGGAAGAAAUUCCUGCAUUCUUGCAGGAUUGACGGUACCAAGUGAAUAAGCACCGGCUAACUCCGUGCCAGCAGCCGCGGUAAUACGGAGGAGCUGCAAGCGUUAUUCCGGAUUCACUGGGCGUAAAGGGUGCGCAGGCGGGUCGUAGAUAGUGUCAGGUGUGAAAUCCCUGCAGCUUAACUGCCGGAACUGCGCCUGGAAACUACAUCGACUGAAUACAGUGGGAGGUAAGUGGAAUGUCAUGGUUAGCGGUGAAAUGCUAGAUAUGACAUAGGAACACCAAUGCGAAGGCAGCUGUACACUGGACAAUUGACUGACUGCUCAGCACGAAAGCAGUGGGGAUCAAAAGGGAUUAGAUACCCCUGGUAGUCCAUGCCCUAAACUGUGCACUACUAGGUACAUUUGAGGAUUCAGACCCUGUCAGGGCUCGAGCGAAACGCAUUAAGUAUGCCCACCUGAGGAAGUACGAUCGCAAGACUAGAAACUCAAAGGAAUUGGCGGGGGUCCGCACAAGCGGUGGAGUAUGUGGCUUAAUUCGAUGCAACGCGAAGGACCUUACCUAGUCUUGACAUGCACUAGACCGAGCCUGAAAGGGCUCUUUCCUUCGGGACUGGUGCACAGGUGCUGCAUGGCUGUCGUCAGCUCGUGUCGUGAGAUGUUGCGUUAAGUCGCGCAACGAGCGCAACCCCUGUCCUUAGUUGCCAUCAUUAUGUUGGGGCACUCUAAGGAGACAAACCCUCUUUGAGGGUGGGAAGGUGGGGAUGACGUCAAGUCAGGAUGGCCCUUACGGCUAGGGCUUGCACACGUACUACAAUGCCCGGUACAGAGGGACGCAAUACCGCGAGGUGGAGCAAAUCCUAAAAAUCGGGCCCAGUUCGGAUUGUAGUCUGCAACUCGACUACAUGAAGUUGGAAUCGCUAGUAAUGGCGCAUCAGCUACGGCGCCGUGAAUACGUUCCCGGGCCUUGUACACACCGCCCGUCACGUCAUGAAAGCCGGUUUCGCCCGAAGUGCGUUUGCCAACCUGCAAAGGAGGCGGCGCCCUAAGGUGAGGCUGGUGAUUGGGACG
rnacentral:rRNA from 1 species